rnacentral:rRNA from 1 species
UAGGGAAUCUUCCGCAAUGGACGCAAGUCUGACGGAGCAACGCCGCGUGAGUGAAGAAGGUUUUCGGAUCGUAAAACUCUGUUGUAAGAGAAGAACAAAUUGUAGAGUAACUGCUACAGUCUUGACGGUAUCUUACCAGAAAGCCACGGCUAACUACGUGCCAGCAGCCGCGGUAAUACGUAGGUGGCAAGCGUUGUCCGGAUUUAUUGGGCGUAAAGGGGGCGCAGGCUGCUUCUUAAGUAUGAUGUGAAAGCCCACGGCUUAACCGUGGAAGUGCAUUGGAAACUGGGAAGCUUGAGUACAGAAGAGGAAAGUGGAACUCCAUGUGUAGCGGUGGAAUGCGUAGAUAUAUGGAAGAACACCAGUGGCGAAAGCGACUUUCUGGUCUGUCACUGACGCUGAGGCCCGAAAGCGUGGGUAGCAAACAGG